rnacentral:lncRNA from 1 species
UUUUAACUUUACCAGGGUAGGCAGGAUUGAAAAAAAAAAAAAAAAAACGAAGGAAGACUGGUUUACACACAUUGUUCUCCCUGUUGUAGGCCUGACUGAUAUGGAUGCAUCUCAUUCACAAUUUGUCAGUGCACGGGUGAGCGUUUAUUUAGUAAAACAAAUUAUUCUUGGAGGGAAAGAUUUUCUAUAGUGAUUUCAGGUUCUUGAUAAAUAAACUAUUUGUAGGAUACUUCAUGUUUCAAGACAUAAUUGAUAUUGAUUCAAGCCCGAGGCUUUCACUCAUCCACUGUAGGACCCUGUGUGAGCCUCAAGUUAGGAUUGCCUUGGGAGUGGAACAAAUGUGCAUUGAAUGCCUUGUUGGCUUGGCGUUGGGACUACUAGUAGAGCUAGACUCAGCCCCAGAGCGUGUUCUACCUGGUUAGCUCCUGAAGCACAUUAGGAGGACCGGCAAUUCAAGGCUGCAUGUAUGCAGUAAUGGCACAGACAUCAAGACUAUAGACUUUACCGGGCUUCCUGGUCCAACAAAGGGAGGACAGUGCAAAGAAAGGAGAGAGGAACACUGUGGAGAGUCUGUCAGGAGCAAUAAGUACAAUCUGCUUGAGCAAAAACCCUGCUGGAAGAACAUGCAGCCUGUGUGGAUUAGUCUGGAGGUUAGGACUGAAGCUGCCAAGUUUGUGUGUGUGUGUGUUUGACAGGAUCUCACUAUUUAGUUUGGUCUGUUGGGCUUGAACUUACAGCAAUCCUCCUGCCUCAGCCUCUCAAGUGCUGGUAUUAUAAGCAUAAGCCACAAUACCUGGUGGUACAUGAGGAUUCCUUCAGGGUUAGAUG